UACAGAGGUGGCAAGCGUUGUUCGGAAUUACUGGGCGUAAAGGGCGCGUAGGCGGCCUUCUAAGUCAGACGUGAAAUCCCCCGGCUUAACCUGGGAACUGCGUCUGAUACUGGAGGGCUUGAGUAUGGGAGAGGGAUGUAGAAUUCCAGGUGUAGCGGUGAAAUGCGUAGAUAUCUGGAGGAAUACCGGUGGCGAAAGCGGCGCACUGGACCACAACUGACGCUGAGGCGCGAAAGCUAGGGGAGCAAACAGG
rnacentral:rRNA from 1 species